ensembl:snRNA U6 U6 spliceosomal RNA
UUGAUCGCUUCAGCAGUACAUACACUAAAAUUGGAACCAUACAGAGAAGAUUAGCAUGGACCCUGCACAAAGACGAUAUGCAAAUUCGUGAAGCUUUCCAUAUUUUU